rnacentral:rRNA from 1 species
GCAAGUCGAACGCGAAAGUCACUUCGGUGGCGAUUAGAGUGGCCGACGGGUGAGUAACGCGUAGGGAUCUACCUCUAGGUGGGGGACAACACGGGGAAACUCGUGCUAAUACCGCGUAUGUUCUGCGGAACAAAGGAUGCCUCUCCUUGGAAGCAUUCGCCUAGAGAUGAACCUGCGUAUGAUUAGCUAGUUGGUGGGGUAAAGGCCUACCAAGGCGACGAUCAUUAGCUGGUCUGAGAGGAUGAUC